rnacentral:lncRNA from 1 species
AGAGUCGCUGACGCGGCACUGCUGUCCUUCCCUGAUGUGAUCUGCCUGGGGCUCAUGCUCUGGGGCAGCAGCUCCAUCGUUUGCAUCCUGCACAGGCACAAGCGGCGGGUCCAGCACAUUCAUAGGACCAGCGUGUCCCCCACAUCCUCCCCUGAGUCCGGAGCUACCAAAACCAUCCUCCUGGAGCAGGAAAGGACAAGGAGUCCCCGAAGCUGACACUGAGUUCAUGGGGUUGAGCUGACAGCGGCCAACAGGCUGUGAUGGGAUCUCACUCUGUCGGCCAGGCUGGAAUGCAAUGGUGCCAACUUGGCUCAGUGCAACCUCCCCACCCCGGGCUCCAACAAUCCUCCCAUCUCAGCCUCUGAAGUAGCUGGGACUACAGGCGUUAUCUCCUGUCCGGGGAAGAGUCAAGCUGCACUAAUCUAGACCAGGGAUCCCCACCCCUGGGCUGCAGACCGGUCCCCAUGGGUGGCCUGUUAGGAACUGGACCGCACAGCAGGAGGAAGCACGUGGUUGAGAAGCAUCA